rnacentral:rRNA from 1 species
GAUGAACGCUGGCGGCGUGCCUAAUACAUGCAAGUCGAGCGAACGGACGAGAAGCUUUCUUCUCUGAUGUUAGCGGCGGACGGGUGAGUAACACGUGGAUAACCUACCUAUAAGACUGGGAUAACUUCGGGAAACCGGAGCUAAUACCGGAUCAUAUUUUGAACCGCAUGGUUCAAAAGUGAAAGACGGUCUUGCUGUCACUUAUAGAUGGAUCCGCGCUGCAUUAGCUAGUUGGUAAGGUAACGGCUUACCAAGGCAACGAUGCAUAGCCGACCUGAGAGGGUGAUCGGCCACACUGGAACUGAGACACGGUCCAGACUCCUACGGGAGGCAGCAGUAGGGAAUCUUCCGCAAUGGGCGAAAGCCUGACGGAGCAACGCCGCGUGAGUGAUGAAGGUCUUCGGAUCGUAAAACUCUGUUAUUAGGGAAGAACAUAUGUGUAAGUAACUGUGCACAUCUUGACGGUACCUAAUCAGAAAGCCACGGCUAACUACGUG